GCCUGGGUGGCUCAGUGGGUUGAGUGUCUGACUUCAGCUCAGGUGAUAAUCUCAUAGUUUGUGGGUCUGAGCCCUGCAUCAGGCU
rnacentral:tRNA from 1 species